CACUGCAUUGAUAAAUUAGCAAAAUUUUCUAGCGACAAGUGCUAUGCUCUGUUUGCAAUGCUCAUUUAUAUGCAUUGUGCAACAUCCUUGCUUUUAGAAACAGUUUAAGCUGCAUGAUUGAUGUCCCAUAAUUUUAUUGUUCAAUAUAUAGCACAACAGCUAUGUGAGGGGGCUGAUAAAAUCAGUUAUUGUGCAUAAAUAUUUCUCUAAUGUUAUUAUUUUAUAUCAUCUUUUUGAUGAGAUUUUUUUUUAUGAUUCAAAAUGACAAGGUACACUCAAUCUAGAAGUUUACUUGUCACUGGCGCAG
rnacentral:lncRNA from 1 species